GUGCUCGCUUUGGCAGCACAUAUACUAAAACUGGAACGAUGCAGAGAAGAUUAGCAUGGCCCCUGCACAAGGAUGACACACAAAUUUGUGAAGCUUUCCAUAUUUUU
rnacentral:snRNA from 1 species